rnacentral:SRP_RNA from 1 species
GGCCCCUCGCGACGCUAGGUCGAAAACCCCGCCAGGGCCGGAAGGCAGCAACGGUAUCGAUCGACGCGGGCGCCGAGGUCAGCCG